UGAGAUCAUGACCUGAGCUGAAAUCAAGAACCCAGCGCUUUACUGACUGAGCCACCAAGGUGCCCCUCAAGAGCAUUUUUAAUAUGGGUCUUUGGGUUCUAAGGCUUUGUAUGUGUAGAAAUAUUUAUUAUGCCACCUUAUUUGAAUAAAAUUCAGAUGUUAUGAAGUUCUAGGUUCAAGCUUCACCACUAUAAAAUAUUGUUUUCGUGCAUCCAUCAACGGUAUUGAAAAUUGUGAUGUCAAUCUGAUUUUUAUUCUGUCACAGAAUAAGAUAUCUUAUAAGAUAUAAUAAGAAUAUAAUAAGAAUCUAUGACCCUUCAGCAGAUUUCUCUGUCCUGUUAUAAUGGUUCUAGGUGUGGAGUCUUUCUUACUGCUUCUGUUUGGCAGUCUUUGAGCCCUUUAUUCUGAGGCCUUUCAUCUCUCUGUAAUAUUGGAAAAUUCAUUACUCACCAUUUCCUCAAAUAUUUAUUCUUCUCUUACACUCUCUCUCUCUCUCACACUGCAAGACCUCUUAUUAUCCCGAUGUCAAUGCUUCUAUUUCUAUCCUCCAUUUUGUUGGACUCUCUUCUAUAUUUUCCACACCUUUCUUCCUUCCUGAUCUCUUCUGGAACCUUCUUCUGUCUUAGCUUCCUCUUCACUGGUUCUGCUUCAGCUCUAUCCGUCCUGCUACUUAUGCCAUCCACAGUAUUUGCCACGUAGAUUGUUAUCUUUUAAACUUUUACUAUUAUCUCUUCAUUUUUUAUGAAUUAUCGGUUUUGCUUUAUAAUGUUGGUAUCUUCUACUAUUUUGUUAAGUGUAUUUACCAUCUUACUUUAAGUUCUUUUUUUAUACUUUUGUCACUUCUGCAUUAGAUAGUAUAUGGUGCUCAAUUUGUUAUUUCUGUUUUGCAGCAGGUUUAGCCCUUAGCUGUCUAAUUCUGUUGGUCUGUGGGCUCACGUCUCCAGGGGGGUAACAGCUAGUUUGUGGGGGUGAUGUGAAAGGGGGAAGGGAUGAAGGUCCGACCAUGAUGGUCUGUGUCCUUCCAGGCCCAGUCCUGGAAGAGAACUCAGAAACACUGUGAGUCUCCCUAGUUGCAGCUACUCAGUCAACUCUAAGGAAUAGCACAACUGGGAGCAGGCAGGCUCUCUGGGAGCGGGGGCCAUGAUGGCAGGUAAUGGAGAAGUGGAUACCCGAGGCUAACACCUAAUGUCUUUAGCUCCUUGACCUAGCAAGGUACAGGGGCUCUGAUUUCUGUUUAUGUGUAAAGCGGAGGCAGUGAUGUCACGAGGAAACUGUGAAGGAGAUAAGAGUAAAAUUCAAAAGGUCUUCCUGCAGUCGGCCCUCCUAUUGCUGCCCUCCGCACUCCCACACACAACGGUUCAAGAUGGCAGUUCCGUCUCUUGGCAAGUUCUAAACAUUUUAUAUUUGUUGUUGCCAUUGUUGUUGGUACCCCAAAUGCUUGUUUCCCUUUGCUUCUAUAAACUCACUAAAAUGAACUCUGGGUAAGGGAGCCGGGAGGCCGAACCUACUUAUUUGCCAUCUCAGCAGGAAAUAGAAGAUUUAUUUCUGGUUCUCAAAGGACAGAGGGACAGGUGACGCCCAAUGGCUUGCAGUCAGAAGCUUCCUGAUCACCGGAGUCUCAUAUCUGUGACCAGGACCAGUCUGCUGUCAUGCCUGUGCCAAGGGUCUCUCUUCCUGGUGCCAAAUGGGGUGAUGAGUGGGAAUUCUGGUCUGUCUCUGCUCCAGUGACAGGAGAGAAAGGAGACAUGGAGAGUCACGAGGUAAGGGUGUGUGUGUGGCAUGGAGUAGGAGAGAUGUUUGUGUUGUGCACGUAGUGUGUACUCCAUUGAGCACUUUCUGGGUGUACCUUCAGGGGUGUUUUACUUUGCAGAAUCCAAGAAGAGUACUUCAGUGGUUCCUUUCCAGGGAGAUACUGACUAGUUUUGGGGGAGGCUGUAUGAUGAGGCUACAUCACUCUGAUAGAGGGUAUUGGCCUUGUGGCCUUUAAGAUGUGUUUGGCUGUGUCUUCCUUUUCUCUAAUUUAGAAGCAUCUGUAGGACUUAGGAAUUCUUUCACAUUAGCACUUUUAAGCCACCCUAGCACCAGUGUUCGGAACCCUCAAAGCAAUCUGCUGCAGCUAUCUCUAGCUGGUCCUGUGGCUUCCUAUCUUCUCAUUGGCCUCUGCUCCGGUUCCUCUCCUCACUUCCUCUUGGAUGGCAGAUGCAUCUUCCUAUGCGGCAAUGCUUGGCAGCAGACGCACAGCAAAUGCUUGUAGAAUUGACCGUGUUCUUCGUAUUUGAAGGUUAAAGAAGAUAGAAGGUUUUUCUCGCAUCCAAAUUUCUCUGGACGGAAUUGGAACAGAAAUGAAAUCAUGAGAGAGAGACAGCCAGCGAGAGAGGGAACACAAGCAGGGGGAGUGGG